GGACCAAUAGCUCAGUGGUAGAGCGCUCCCUCAAUGGCUAACCCGACACGUUCUGCAGGACGGUGGUGUCCGCUCAUGUAGACAACCUGCUCUUGUAGGUAGCCUGUGGUCUGGGAGAGGUCGUCAGUUCGAGUCAGACUUGGUCCA